UACGUAGGGAGCAAGCGUUGUUCGGAUUUACUGGGCGUAAAGGGCGCGUAGGCGGCAGAUUAAGUCAGCUGUGAAAUCUCCGAGCUUAACUCGGAACUGUCAGCUGAUACUGUUUUGCUAGAGUGCGGAAGGGGCAAUCGGAAUUCUUGGUGUAGCGGUGAAAUCCGUAGAUAUCCAAAGGAACACCAAUGGCGAAGGCAGCUUGCUGGGUCUUUUCUGACACUGAGACGCGAAAGCGUGGGGAGCAAACGGG
rnacentral:rRNA from 1 species